CUCUUGAGUGGAUCCUGAGUACGACGGAGCACGUGAAAUUCCGUCGGAAUCUGGGAGGACCAUCUCCUAAGGCUAAAUACUCUCUAGUGACCGAUAGUGAACCAGUACCGUGAGGGAAAGGUGAAAAGCACCCCGGAAGGGGAGUGAAAUAGAACCUGAAACCGUGUGCUUACAAGUAGUCAGAGCCCGUUAAUGGGUGAUGGCGUGCCUUUUGUAGAAUGAACCGGCGAGUUACGAUUUGAUGCAAGGUUAAGCAGUAAAUGUGGAGCCGUAGCGAAAGCGAGUCUGAAUAGGGCGUUUAGUAUUUGGUCGUAGACCCGAAACCAGGUGAUCUACCCUUGGUCAGGUUGAAGUUCAGGUAACACUGAAUGGAGGACCGAACCGACUUACGUUGAAAAGUGAGCGGAUGAACUGAGGGUAGCGGAGAAAUUCCAAUCGAACCUGGAGAUAGCUGGUUCUCUCCGAAAUAGCUUUAGGGCUAGCCUCAAGUGAUGAUUAUUGGAGGUAGAGCACUGUUUGGACGAGGGGCCCCUCUCGGGUUACCGAAUUCAGACAAACUCCGAAUGCCAAUUAAUUUAACUUGGGAGUCAGAACAUGGGUGAUAAGGUCCGUGUUCGAAAGGGAAACAGCCCAGACCACCAGCUAAGGUCCCAAAAUAUAUGUUAAGUGGAAAAGGAUGUGGCGUUGCCCAGACAACUAGGAUGUUGGCUUAGAAGCAGCCAUCAUUUAAAGAGUGCGUAAUAGCUCACUAGUCGAGUGACACUGCGCCGAAAAUGUACCGGGGCUAAACAUAUUACCGAAGCUGUGGAUUGUCCUUUGGACAAUGGUAGGAGAGCGUUCUAAGGGCGUUGAAGCAUGAUCGUAAGGACAUGUGGAGCGCUUAGAAGUGAGAAUGCCGGUGUGAGUAGCGAAAGACGGGUGAGAAUCCCGUCCACCGAUUGACUAAGGUUUCCAGAGGAAGGCUCGUCCGCUCUGGGUUAGUCGGGUCCUAAGCUGAGGCCGACAGGCGUAGGCGAUGGAUAACAGGUUGAUAUUCCUGUACCACCUAUA
rnacentral:rRNA from 1 species